GGGGAAUAUUGGACAAUGGGCGCAAGCCUGAUCCAGCCACGCCGCGUGAGUGAUGAAGGCCUUCGGGUCGUAAAGCUCUGUGGGGAGAGACGAACCGCCGGUGGUUAAUACCCAUCGGCAUGACGGUAUCUCCUUAGCAAGCACCGGCUAACUUCGUGCCAGCAGCCGCGGUAAUACGAAGGGUGCAAACGUUGCUCGAAAUCAUUGGGCGUAAAGCGCACGUAGGCGGCUCCGCAAGUCGGAUGUGAAAUCCCUCGGCUCAACCGAGGACGUGCAUCCGAAACUGCAGAGCUUGAGUAUGGAAGAGGGUCGCGGAAUCCCCGGUGUAGAGGUGAAAUUCGUAGAUAUCGGGGGGAACACCAGUGGCGAAGGCGGCGAUCUGGGAAGAUACUGACGCUGAGGUGCGAAAGCGUGGGGAGCAAA
rnacentral:rRNA from 1 species